rnacentral:rRNA from 1 species
GAGGAUUACACUGUCUCCCCCCCUAAAUCAAUGAAACUGAUCCCCCCGUGAAGAAGCGGGGAUAAAUAUAUAAGACGAGAAGACCCUAUGGAGCUUUAAACUAAACACCACUUACCUUCAACCACUUCCUUACAAACAGGUAAAGAUCGUGUGUGUUUUCAGUUGGGGUGACUGCGGAGCAAAAUAAAACCUCCACGAUGAAACAAUCUCUAAUCUAAGAACAACGCUUCAAAGAAUCAACAAAUUGACAUAAAUUGACCCAAAUAUUAAUUUGAUCAACGAACCAAGUUACCCUAGGGAUAACAGCGCAAUCCAUUUCAAGAGCUCAUAUCGACAAAUG